rnacentral:rRNA from 1 species
UACGUAGGGGGCAAGCGUUGUCCGGAUUUAUUGGGCGUAAAGAGCUCGUAGGUGGUUCGGUAAGUCGGAUGUGAAAUCUCCAGGCUCAACCUGGAGGGGUCAUUCGAUACUGCCGUGACUAGAGUUCGGUAGGGGAGUGUGGAAUUCCUGGUGGAGCGGUGAAAUGCGCAGAUAUCAGGAAGAACACCAAUGGCGAAAGCAGCUCUCUGGGACGGUACUGACGCUGAGACGCGAAAGCGUGGGGAGCAAACAGG